rnacentral:rRNA from 1 species
CCUACGGGUGGCUGCAGUGGGGAAUUUUGGACAAUGGGCGCAAGCCUGAUCCAGCCAUGCCGCGUGAGUGAAGAAGGCCUUCGGGUUGUAAAGCUCUUUCAGCCGGAAAGAAAACGCACGGGUUAAUACCCUGUGUGGAUGACGGUACCGGAAGAAGAAGCACCGGCUAACUACGUGCCAGCAGCCGCGGUAAUACGUAGGGUGCGUGCGUUACUCGAAAUUACUGGGCGUGGAUUUUGAGGACAGAGGUGAAAUCCCCGGGCUUAACCUGGGAACUGCAUUUGUGACUGCAAGGCUAGAGUACGGCAGAGGGGGGUAGAAUUCCACGUGUAGCAGUGAAAUGCGUAGAUAUGUGGAGGAAUACCGAUGGCGAAGGCAGCCCCCUGGGUCGAUACUGACGCUCAUGCACGAAAGCGUGGGGAGCAAACAGGAUUAGAUACCCCAGUAGUC